GUCAUAUCUGAAAAACACAAUGCCACAUCCUCAGAGGGACACAGCUACACCCUUGUGGUCCUCGGGUGAGCUUGGAGCCAUCGGGAUCUUCUCAGGGACGUGGCUGCUGGCAGACACGGGGACAGGAUUCAGGCAGAGAUGCUUCCUUCUUGGGGUCUCCAGCCCUCUCCUGAUUAGAUCUGAAUCACUCCAGGCUGACCCCACGCUAAUUACUGGGGUUCACAGUCCUAGGAAUUGCAAAGGAGGGAAACAGACAUCUGCACAGAGCCUUGGUGCCUGGAUUCACCCAAGAAUCUCCACAUCCACAAAAUGCACUUCCUCUCAGGGAAAAUACAUUGGAAUGUACAUCCUGCCAAGCAUCCAUUCAUCCCACGGUCACUGGAAACUUGGUGUUGCAGUGAGGAAGUGUGUCAAGGCUGGCUUCCCCGGAGACCUGCUUCCUGGUGGCAUCAAAAGAUGCAGAAGUUUUUGUCAGCUCACUCAACGAGAGUCUAUCUGUUCAUGCUGGCCUGGUUCAUUCAUACUCAACUUCCAAGACAUUGUUGCCUAAAGACCAAAACGACAAAUCAUCCAUUUUCAUUGAGAAAGAGAUCUCGAGAGGAGGUACUUAAAAGCUUCCAUUGGCAAUUUUUUUUUUUAAUACGGAAACAUAUCUGAGAAGCCAAAUCAAUAUCAGAACGCUGCCCUGUGGAUAGACAGAGCUGAGUAAAGUGAGACGUUGUUCAUGUCAUGACCGCUUGAUACACCCGAUUACACUAGAUGGAGUGUAGACCAGAAGGAAGGGGGUCCUCUCUCAGCAACACUGGAAGUCAGUCCAACAAAUGCCCAUGGUUCUGCACCUCUUUCUCAGUAUUCCUGGCCAGUCAUGAAAACUCCUGCAAUGGCAUUAUUUCCUCAUAAUGGAUAUGUUUCAGUGUUCCAAGAUUACCACUCACUUUUCACUUUGAAUUCUAAAUAAAGGCUUUCCUUUUGGGGAGGGACUCUGUAAGUACUUGGCUUAGUAUUUUUAAAAUGUUCUAGCUUGCUGUGGUGCGGUGUCACGUGUCUGUGGGUUAGCUGUGCCGUGUCCUUGUCUUGGAGUGCCCUCCCCGCCCUGCUGUACCCACACCCCCAACACCUCUGUCUGCUAAACUCUCAGUCAUCCUUUUCAUUCCAGGGACAAGUGUCAUCCCCUUCAGAAGCUCCCACACCCAGAGCAGGCUUAGAAGGUCUUUGCUCUGUGUUCCUAUGUUGGAGAAGGAAAUGGCAACCCACUCCAGUAUUCUUGCCUGGAGAAUCCCAUGGACAGAGGAGCCUGGCAGGCUACAGUCCAUGGGGUUUCAAGAGUUGGACAUGACUUAGCGACUAAACCACCACCUAUGUUGUUUGUUUAUCCUUUAUUCUAGCCUUUGUCAUAGGCUGCAAAGGCAGGCUUGUCUAGCCGUCUUCCCCACUAGAUUGCAAACUCUCAGGAAACAGGAACUUGGUCCAUCUCAUGGACCCGGACACAGUGCCUGGUACAGGGCAGGUAUUAGAUAGGUGCUGAUACUUGAUAAAAUCAGUGAGUGGCAUUAACAUUAGCCUACAGCUCUCCUAAUGAUGUCUCAAAAGCAUGCAAACCCCAUUUUAUUCUUCAGAUGACUUUUGACGCCUCUCGUUUAUAAAAGGCAAUGUUCAUAAAAACCUUAGGGUUGGCUUUCAAGGUGAUGAGAUGCGAACCUAGUCAGGUGAGCGAGCGUCACUAUCCUUGGGGGCACAUGGCUGCCAGAAAGAGGCGCUCUCUCCAUGCAUCUCUUCACUACCAAGCUGGUCAAGGAUGGAAACUGCAGGCUUCCCCUCAGUGUGUCCCAAAGCCCAUGGUCCUCCCUGUGGAGAAGCCCGACUGUCCCAAGCUGUGUCCUGAGGGGUUGGACAGCGAGAACCAACUUCCCUUUCCCUUCUGGUGGUUUCUCUUGGUGCAGACCAAAAUGAAAAGUUAUCUGAAAAUUCUGGAAUCAGACACACGUUUGUGGGUAAGAAAGUGAGAAGAAAAAGAUGAACUAUCUUUGUGGAGACAUGGAGAAUGUACUUUGCUGCUGGGUGGGUUUGGUGACCCUGACUCUCUUAGGAAUAAAGGAAAGCUCUCAGGAGCCUUUUGUGUUCUUGAUUAUAUUGUUCUAUUAGCUAAAUCUCCAGUGGUUCCCCCCCACUCCCCCUGGAGAAGGAAAUGUCAACCCACUCCAGUAUUCUUGCCUGGAAAAUUCCAUGGACAGAGGAGCCUGGUGGGCUACAGUCCAUGGGGUCGCAGAGUCAGCC
ensembl:lncRNA